GUGGGGAAUAUUGCGCAAUGGGGGAAACCCUGACGCAGCAACGCCGCGUGAGUGAUGAAGGCUUUCGAGUCGUAAAACUCUGUCUUUGGGGACGAAUAAUGACGGUACCCAAGGAGGAAGCCCCGGCUAACUACGUGCCAGCAGCCGCGGUAAUACGUAGGGGGCAAGCGUUGUCCGGAAUCACUGGGCGUAAAGGGCGCGUAGGCGGUUUGUUAAGUCAGGUGUGAAAGUUUUCAGCUUAACUGGAAAAGUGCUCUUGAAACUAACUUACUUGAGUACUGGAGAGGUAAGCGGAAUUCCUAGUGUAGCGGUGAAAUGCGUAGAUAUUAGGAAGAACACCGGUGGCGAAGGCGGCUUACUGGACAGAGACUGACGCUGAGGCGCGAAAGCGUGGGGAGCGAACAGGAUUAGAAACCCUGGUAGUCC
rnacentral:rRNA from 1 species